rnacentral:rRNA from 1 species
UACGUAGGGUGCGAGCGUUGUCCGGAAUUACUGGGCGUAAAGAGCUCGUAGGUGGUUUGUCGCGUUGUUCGUGAAAACUCACAGCUUAACUGUGGGCGUGCGGGCGAUACGGGCAGACUGGAGUACUGCAGGGGAGACUGGAAUUCCUGGUGUAGCGGUGGAAGUGCGCAGAUAUCAGGAGGAACACCGGUGGCGAAGGCGGGUCUCUGGGCAGUAACUGACGCUGGAGGAGCGAAAGCGUGGGGAGCGAACAGG